GUCAGAUCAGCCCUGUCAACAUCACGAGAAAGACAACUUGGGUACAUGACUUUUAAAAGGUGAAAAGAGGACAGGAGAUACAAAAGAGAAAAAAAAACAGAAGUGGGACUGAAGAAGAGAGGAUUAUUGAAGAAAUAAGAAGACUCUAAACGUCUGAAGACGCUUGACAAAGGCCUGCAGGAGACCAGCCAUGGAGGAGGAUUACAAGAGACCACCACCAUCCUAUGAAGAAGUUAUAACCGAGCAGCACACGAGCAACACUAGUCAGAGCCACACUGCUGAUAACAGGCAGGGCUGCUGCUGCAGAUGUUGCAUUAGCACCAAGAACUGUCUGAUGAGUCCGGAGUGCGGUCGAGCUCUUAACAUCGCCAGCGUGAUUGCCAUGUGUGGCAUGUGUAUUCGAAUGUUUGUCUAACACAGUCUCCUGUGGACCAUUUAUUCCAGAUCUCUCAUCCAGUGGUGGCCUUCUCAAAUUAAAAAGGAAACAAAGACAUUUGCUCUGUUCCAAAACCUAGUGAUCUGCAACAUGUAUAAGCGUUCCCCCAAUACGAAUCCCAAUGCUGUUCCAAAAAGGAUGCAGCACUGCAUUUAUCCUUAACAGAUAAGGUAAUCCCAGAACGAACUGACUAAAAUUUCCAUUUCGAAUAGGAAACGUCAAUUGCGAAGUAUAACUUAUAAAUACAAAGUGAUUCAGUACUGACAAAUAUCAUUGAAAAACACUGCCAUGUCAUACAAUCUAGUCUCCUAUGUGAUUCUUGGGCCUCAUUCAUGAAAAAGUAGCACAAUAAAUUCAUAAAUCGUUUGUAAAAUCAUUCCUAUAUUCAGUGUGGCAUUUAAUUAAAUCGGCAUGAGUGACCACUUAAGGUGCGGUCACAUUUAUCAUUGUUAGAUGAAAUAGACAAGUAAUUUCAAUAGGGGUCCAAGUUAUAAGGAAUUUUCUUGAGAGCAAAAGAUUUCCCCAGGCAGAUUUCAGUUAAAGUUGGUAACACAAAUUCAUCGUGUUGAAUUGACCAACAGAAAGAUAAUGAAAAUGAAUUCUGUUUGAGAUAACAACAUGCGAUGACAAUGGGCCUUUUUUUGUCUGCAAAAUUUUGCUAAUGUGACUGUACCUUUCCAGUAUGUAAUUCCAUUCUGAAAGACAGUAGUAUUAUAUAGUUGUACUAAUAUUUUCUCUCUAAUCCAAGUCCUUUGUUUAUGUAGAGCUUUAUACAAUAUACUUUGCACAAUACUAAACAGGAAAGAAACAGAAUCAGUGAUGCAAACUUAAAAAAUAA